rnacentral:rRNA from 1 species
CCUACGGGAGGCAGCAGUAGGGCAUAUUGCUCAAUGGGGGGACACCCUGACGCAGCAACGCCGCGUGGAGGAUGAAGGUUUUCGGAUUGUAAACUCCUUUUGUUAGAGAAGAUCAUGACGGUAUCUAACGAAUAAGCACCGGCGAACUCCGUGCCAGCAGCCGCGGUAAUACGGAGGGUGCAAGCGUUACUCGGAAUCACUGGGCGUAAAGAGCGCGUAGGCGGGAUAGCAAGUCAGAUGUGAAAUCCGAUGGCUUAACCAUAGAACUGCAUUUGAAACUGUUAUUCUAGAGUAUGGGAGAGGUAGGUGGAAUUCUUGGUGUAGGGGUGAAAUGCGUAGAGAGCAAGAGGAAUACUCAUUGCGAAGGCGACCUGCUAGAACAUAACUGACGCUGAUGCGCGAAAGCGUGGGGAGCAAACAGGAUUAGAUACCCGGGUAGUC